GGCUGGUCUGUGUGUGUUUUGGUGGGCUUGGGCUGGUCUGUGUGUGUUUUGGUGGGCUUGGGCUGGUCUGUGUGUGUUUUGGUGGGCUUGUGCUGGUCUGUGUGUGUUUUGGUGGGCUUGGGCUGGUCUGCAGGUGUUGUGGUGGGCUUGUGCUGGUCUGCGUGUGUUUCGGUGGGCUUUGGUGGUUUGUCAGUAGUCUGGUCUGGAGUGGUGGGAGUGUCAGCUGCUUCGGUGCUGAUGUUGACAUUCUUCAUCUGGCCUGAUUGACUCUGAAGAGUGUCCUUUCCAGGUUCAUUGCUCGUCUUAUUAGUCGCGUCAGCUGUGGAUGAAAAACAAACCACAUUAAUAGCAAUUACUGUGAUGCUUUAGAUUACAAAUUGUAUUCCAUUACUGAUUCCAAAUUACAUGACGAAGUUGUAGUUAGUAACAAUCGAUUACAUAACCUAAUCGUACUACUUUCUGAUUGCUUUUAGAUUUCCCAACUCAACUAUCACAUGGAUUUCAACAGGAUGAUCUUGUACUGCAUUGCUAUAGAGGGUGUGUUUCCCAUACAUUUAUUUAUUUUUGGAGACUCGCCACAAUUUUAAAACUGAUCUUUUUUCAAAAAGGCUUCAUUGAAUAAACAUAAGUAACGUUACUUACUGCACGUUUAAUAAUAAUAAUUCCUUACAUUUAUAUGUUUAAAUAUCAAAACGAGGCACAGGUGUUUUUAUAUCGCUGUAUUUCUGAAGGAAGACUUGCAUGUUAUAUGCCUGAUAGCAGCGUGUGAGCGUAGCAGCUCUGCUUUGUUUACAGCUGUUACUGGGGAAACCUCUAUUUCUCGCGCUUUAUGUCUAUGCUUUAAAACAUCUCCUGCUGGCAAAUAAUGAAUUUACAUUUUCAAUAAGUCCGCCUGAUCCACGCAGCAAACAUUUCGUUUAUCAUCAAAAAAUAUCUACUCUGGAGGGACUUGGCUGUUGUUAUUGAUUCUAUUUGGAAGUCUACCGGAAGUUAAGUUAGGUCCACAAAAGCGUUCAUGCGCAGUAACGAUUGUUUAUGUUGAUGCCGUUGAAACCAUCUAUAGAAAUACAAAACUGAAAGUAAAUAUAUCGUGUUCGAUAAACAUUACAUUGUGUCAAGGAUUCGAGUUUGUGAGUUCGGUGAAAAUCUGAUAUUUUAACUAUAUCAUAAAAAUUGAAUAUAAUAUCUAUAUAAUAUAAAAUAUAAUAUAAUAUAUAAUAUAUAUAUAUAUAUAUAAUAUAAUAUAAAAAUAUCUUUCAGAAUCUAGUUUGGUUCACGUAUACACGAUCUGAUUUCCCUGCCUCUGCUUUUCAUAUCCUUCUGUUGAUCAUUUUUCAUAAGUUUUAUUCCUGUUUCUGGUAAGACUGGAUGCCUUUCCCAUUAAAAACAUUAGACGAUGAUGCAAGCUCUUUAUUCUGGCACAUUAAAGCAUGAUUAGAGAUUUUUCUAGGUGAUAAGAACACAAGAAACUGAAUACAAAAUGUUAUAAUUAAAUUAGGUCUGUAAAAGGCAGAUCAACAGUUUGACAGGAUGAUCUAUAGAUCUAUGUUCUCAGAAACCCAAACCGGAUUGACCGGAUUUUAACUUGAUCUCGUAUUACACUUCUAUUUCCAGUGCUAUAAUAAAUAACACUAUUAUGGUUCAUCAUGGACUAAUAUAAAACGCAAUAAAAUAAAAGAUGAAAUGUAUGCAAGCCUGUUUUGCCCUCACAGUAUAAAAAAUAAAAGGUGAUUUAAACGUUUCCUCAUAGUUCUGAAUUUAUAUCUCACAAUUCUGAGAAAAAAAGUCAGAAUUUAAAGAUAUAAACAGAAAUGACUCGUGUUUACAGAAGCUUGACAGUGGAGAAACCGACGACGUCACAACGACACGAGACUUCCGGUCUCGGAAUCAACAGAAGUAUUUGUUUUCUGUGGAGUAUUUAUGUAACGUUAUGUAAACGUGCCAUUUAUCGUGACCUAGACCCACAUAUUCGAUGAGAGAGACGUUUGAAGAGUAACGUUAACGUUACUUGGGAUUCAUUUAACGUUGUUAACUGACAGACGAAGUUUCAACGGAGCACGAACUCUUUUUUGUAAGAUUAAAUUACACCACUAGCCGCGGGGAACAAGCUAUUAUUGUUUAUAGGAAAAUCAUCCACUAACCU